rnacentral:rRNA from 1 species
AGAACAACUCUCAGCAACGGAUAUCUUGGCUCUUGCAACGAUGAAGAACGCAGCGAAAUGCGAUACGUAGUGUGAAUUGCAGAAUUCCGCGAAUCAUCGAGUCUUUGAACGCAAGUUGCGCCCGAGGCUUGUCCGAGGGCAUUUCCGCUAGAGCGUCACCGCGCCCCCCCACCGACCCCCACCUCGCGGGGCCGAGUGAAAGUG